rnacentral:ncRNA from 1 species
UGAUUGCCUUGCAUAUUCUGUGAGGAAUAUGUACUCCACGUUAAUUGCUUUGACCCCCUAAAGCCAAUUCACCCAAACAGUGAUUGGAAACGAUGAGCUGAGCGGUACGAAAGUAGAAAAAACGAAUUGGAUGGCAUAUGAAAAAGUGGAUCUUUUUCUAAGUGCUUUAAUCAAAUGGGUAUUUAGCAGGGACUGCCCUAAGUAGGUUGGCUUGACCUAUAAGGGAAACCUUCAACGACUAUCUCCUAGUGGGAGAGUAAAGCCGUAAGCGAAUGACGGAAGAAAAAUGUGGCACUUACGUAUGGACGUAAGUUGAAGAAAUAGUCUCAACUCUUAUGAAAGUAAGAG